UACGUAGGUGGCAAGCGUUGUCCGGAUUUACUGGGUGUAAAGGGCGUGUAGCCGGGUUGACAAGUCAGAUGUGAAAUCCUGCGGCUUAACCGCAGAACUGCAUUUGAAACUGUUGAUCUUGAGUACUGGAGAGGCAGACGGAAUUCCUAGUGUAGCGGUGAAAUGCGUGGAUAUUAGGAGGAACACCAGUGGCGAAGGCGGUCUGCUGGACAGCAACUGACGGUGGGGCGCGAAAGCGUGGGGAGCAAACAGG
rnacentral:rRNA from 1 species